GGCAGUGACGGCGAGCGCGGCCGGAAUGGCGCCACCCUGCCCGCCGCCGAGCUACACCGCAGCUCGCUGCUGUCGUGCGCCACCGAGGCCACCCUGGUGGAGGUGUCGCCGCGCACGGCCUCCGAGGGCUCCUCACCCCGCCACGGCGGCCCGCCGCAGGCCGACGAGGUCGGCUCCUUCUCCGAGCAGGCCUGGGACCCAUACCAGGAGCUGAAGGAGGUAACAGAAGUGGGCUCCGAGGGCUCGGUGGACCGCGACGCCGUGCUGCGCCUGCUCGACUGCGACGACUACCGCAAAUACAUUGACUCGCAUUCGGA